rnacentral:rRNA from 1 species
CAAGUGUCACACGGUACUGCCGGUCUUAAGCCGAGAAGGUGGGAUGACGUCAAGUCAUCAUGGCCCUUAUGGGCAGGGCUACACACGUACUACAAUGGUCGGUCAAAGGGCUGCCAACCCGCAGGGGGAGCCAAUCCCAGAAAACCGAUCGUAGUCCGGAUUGGAGUCUGCAACUCGACUCCAUGAAGUCGGAAUCGCUAGUAAUCGCAGAUCAGCAUGCUCGCGGUCCGAAUACGUUCCGGGCCUU